GUCCAGGAAUGGGAAUCGAAUCCACAAUGUUCCGCUUACCGGGCAGAUGCCAUGUCCACUAGGCUACCCUGGA
rnacentral:tRNA from 1 species